rnacentral:rRNA from 1 species
GACCAAGGNGUNUAACAUGUGCGCGAGUCGUCGGGUCUUGAAUAGGCCCGCAGGCGAAAUGAAAGUGAAGGGCGACCUYGUUGUCGUCUGCGUUGGGAUCCUCAGAUCACCGUGUCUGGGGCGCACCAACGGCCCGUCCCGUCCGCAGCGUCGGUGGGACGGAGCGAGAGCGUACACGUUGGGACCCGAAAGAUGGUGAACUAUGCCUGGGCAGGACGAGGCCAGAGGAAACUCUGGUGGAGGUCCGCAGCGAUUCUGACGUGCAAAUCGAUCGUCAGACCUGGGUAUAGGGGCGAAAGACUAAUCGAACCGUCUAGUAGCUGGUUCCCUCCGAAGUUUCCCUCAGGAUAGCUGGCGCUCGAGGGAGUCAGUCUCAUCCGGUAAAGCGAAUGAUUAGAGGCCUUGGGGCCGAAACGACCUCAACCUAUUCUCAAACUUUCAAUGGGUGAGAAGUCCGGUUUACAUGACUGAAGCCCGGACAAUUCUCAGGAUGCGAGUGCCCAGUGGGCCACUUUU